rnacentral:lncRNA from 1 species
CUUUGGUGCCUCGCUGGACUCCUCAUGUGAGUGCCCCCCCUUCCUGCAGCCAGUAGUCGUUAUUGCUGCCAAACGUGGUGCGUUUAUUUGAAGACAUAAUUGAUGAAUAGUUGACAUGUAAGAAAGAUGCAAAGGAGAAACCAACAGCGAGAGUCCAGCAGAAAGCUUCCAGAAGUGACCUUCCUGUGGAAGGAUUUUUUGUUCAGAGCACUGAGGUUUCUGCGUAUAUCCUGUUGGGCUCUCUGUAGAGAUAAGACGGCUGAACGAAUUUCCUUUAGCUGAUUCAUUUCUUUCCCACACUGAGUGCACAGACUAUCAAACCCAUCAUCAUCUGACAGCUCUUGUACAGACUCUGGUGUUGAACAGCUGCUCUCCGUAUUCUGGCUGUGGUUGGAUGGCUGAUCACUGGUUUUACGGCGUCUACACUCUUUGGUAGAUCUCUUGUGCAGCGUAAUUUGAUUGUUCAUGCAUGUUGCUUUAUGGUUUGACAUCCUUGUAGAUAAAUGUCUUUCCAUGGUCUGCAGUAUCCCAUUCCUCUCAAAUUGGGCAAUAUCAUUCAAAGGAUCCCAAGGUCUUAAAUCCUCGUAUUUGUAGCGCCAUUCAUCAGUCGUGGAAUCAUGCCGGAAGAGCAGCGGUUUCCAUUCUGUGCCAUUCUCUCUUCGCUCGCGGGCAGCAUUCCUCUGCUCCUCCUCCAGCACAAAUUUUUCCUGUGUCGCCUUGUGUUGAUCACCUUUGUUUAUUGCACUCGUAACAUGCUGCCAAAGCCUUUCUGACUCAAAGUCAGUCUGUUCCUCAAAUAGCACAAUGUGGCGCUUCAGUCUCUGUUUUCGUACUUCACUAGUUGGGUUCCAGAACACUUCCGCAUUCCCAUUUUUCAACUCAUUUAUAUGUACUUCCCCAUCCCAGUGUCCAUCGAGAUUUGCUAACACUUCUUCUCCUGAUUUGAUCUUCCCAGAGAUUUGAUUAAUGCUUGUGCUUCCACCAAAUAAGGGCUUAAGCUUGAAUUCCAGUUCUGCCCUGUGGUUAGUUUUCUCACAGUCAAUGGUAACUUUCCCUCCAAGCUCCAUUGUCAUGGUACCAUAUAAAAUUCCUUUACAGUGGGCGUACGGCAUUGUAAUUAUGUAAUCUUCCCCUCUGUUUAGAAACAUAAGCUUUGCCUUCCCAUCCAGCAAUGCAGAAAGUGAGUUACCAUAAAACUUGGACCGAGCUAGAAUGCUGCCAGUAAUGCAGAACCCAUCC